AACAGAUGAAAGCAAAAGCAAAGAAAACCUGUUGAGCAUAUACAGCAUUCUGGUUGUAAUUUCUUUAAGUGAUCAUCUACAAUGGAUGAGCUGCUGGUGAACACUCUGAUGGACCUGGACCGUGAUCAGCUGAACAGAUUCCAGUGGCAUCUAAGGAAGCAUAAGGUGGAUGACAUUGAGCCCAUCAAAAUAGCUCAGUUGGAAGAUGGUGCAAGCAGGGAGAAGACUGUGGAUCUGAUGGUGGCCAAAUACAAAGUGAAGGCUCCGGUCGUCAUGCAGGCUAUCCUGUUGAAAAUGUGCCAGAACUUCCUUGCUGAAAAGUUACAGAUAAAUGCAGAAAAUGUCAAUUGAGAAUGGAGCAGGCGCCGUGGGGGUGAUGACUGCUGCUCCAGCUGAGGAGGAAGUCCCUAAAGUAUAAAUACCUAGUGCAUUAUAUACUCUAUAGUAGGCUAACAAUGUAUUGAUACUAACACAGAUUAUGACUUGAGGGAAAGUCAAGUGUUCCCUUUUCAAAAUCACUCAAGUAAAUGUUUUUAUUAAAUAUUAACUAUUAUUUAGUUACUAGGUAUUAAGUAAACACCCUUACAUGAAUUGACUGCUUUAUGCUAUACACCAAGUAUAACAGAAGUAUCAGUGAUUGUUCUGAAUCGAGAAUAAACAAUAAAACAACAA